rnacentral:rRNA from 1 species
CAAGUCGAACGGAACCCUUCGGGGUUAAGUAGCGGACAGAUGAGUAACACGUAAGAACCUGCCUCUAGGACGGGGACAACAGUUGGAAACGACUGCUAAUCCCGGAUGAGCCGAAAGGUAAAAGAUUAAUCGCCAAGAGAGGGGCUUGCGUCUGAUUAGCUAGUUGGUGUGGUAAGAGCGCACCAAGGCGACGAUCAGUAGCUGGUCUGAGAGGAUGAUCAGCCACACUGGGACUGAGACACGGCCCAGACUCCUACGGGAGGCAGCAGUGGGGAAUUUUCCGCAAUGGGCGAAAGCCUGACGGAGCAAGACCGCGUGGGGGAGGAAGGUUCUUGGAUUGUCAACCCCUUUUCUCAGGGAAGAAGAAAGUGACGGUACCUGAGGAAUAAGCAUCGGCUAACUCCGUGCCAGCAGCCGCGGUAAUACGGAGGAUGCAAGCGUUAUCCGGAAUGAUUGGGCGUAAAGAGUCCGUAGGUGGCUAGUCAAGUCUGCUGUUAAAGAGCGAGGCUUAACUUCGUCAAAGCAGUGGAAACUGAAGAGCUAGAGUGUAGUAGGGGCAGGGGGAAUUCCUGGUGUAGCGGUGAAAUGCGUAGAGAUCAGGAAGAACACCGGUGGCGAAAGCGCUCUGCUGGGCUACAACUGACACUGAGGGACGAAAGCUAGGGGAGCGAAUGGGAUUAGAUACCCCAGUAGUCCUAGCGGUAAACGAUGGAAACUAGGUGUGGCCUGUAUCGACCCGGGCCGUGCCGGAGCAAACGCGUUAAGUUUCCCGCCUGGGGAGUACGCACGCAAGUGUGAAACUCAAAGGAAUUGACGG